UAGAAAUAGGUUGGGUAUAUGGAAGGAGAUCAAUUCCGAAGUCGAUUUCCCUCUCGGUAGGAACUCCAGGAGAGCUUUUGGAAACACUUUUGGGAACUCAUUAAAUACUGGAACUGACUCAAGAGUUAGUGUUUCGGAACUAGAAUCCUUAACCCGAACUAGAUGAUAUAGAUAACCCUUAGAGAUCGUCCUCCUAGCCUUAAGGUAAGAAAUGAAUCGACCCAUAGGCGCUAAACUAUUACCCUUCCAUUCUAAGAUUGGUUCAUCUAAAAUCUGAAAACAAUCCUAGUUCUACAAUCGAUUAAGGCAUAACAGGAAUGUAACCAAUCCAUGCCUAGAAUGAUAUCAAAGUCUACCAUUUCUAACUCUACAAGUUCUGCUGAAGUUACUUUCUGAGAGAUUGUGACUGGGUAAUUUCUAUAUACCCGUCUAGCUAUAACUGGGUCACCGAUUGGAGUAGAGACUGAGAAGGGUUCUAAGAGUGUUUCUGGACUAACACUGAAUUUGACUUCUAUAUAAAGAGUUACAAAGGAAAUAGUACCCCCUGGAUCUAACAAAGCAUAAACAUCUAAGUCAAAGACUCAUAAUGUACCAGUGACUACAUCAGGAGAAUCUUCCUGAUCCUGGCGAGCCUGGAGAGCAUACAACCUAUUUUGGCGCUAACCGCCACUAGUACCAGAUUAGUUACCCUGCUGAGUCGGGCAACUUGCGGGUGCUGCUGAAGUUGUGGACUGAGCUCUACCAUUGUUACCUCCUUGACCCUAUUUAGAAGAACAAUAUUUCAACAUGUGACCAGACUGACCACACCCAAAGUAUCCUUCCUUUCUUGCAAAACACUCGCCUGGAUGGUUCUUACCACACUUUGGAAAAGUGGGGUAGGUUCUGGUGCCUGAAAUACUACCUUGAAACUUAGAGCUUGAUGCCUUACCUUUAUGAUCAUUUCGGAACUUGAGGGAUGGAACACUAGUUGAUGAAGGUCCUAGAGUUGAAGACUUCUGCUGAAGCUGUGAGCAAUUUCCACCACCCGAUUUCUGUUGAGAAUAGUCAUAGUUACCUGUCCUAGCCUUCUAUUCUCCUUGGCCUGUUUCCUAAGCUUAUCCCCAUCAACCUACUGAGCGUGAGUCAUAAGCCUAGAGAUGUUCAUAUCUUCAAGCAACAUAGCAUUCCUACACUAUGUUUUCACUAGAUUGGAUACCCCAUACAUGAACUUGUUCAUUUGAGCCCUUGAUUCAGCAACCAUGUAAGGAGAAUACCUGGAAAGUUGGGUGAACUUGAGUCCAUACUCUUGGACUGUCAUAGAAACCUGUCUCAAAUUCAUAAACUCUUGACCUUUUGCCUCCCUCAACUCUCUUGGGAAGAACAUGUCCAGAAAGGUCUCACUAAAGCAUUCCCAAGUGAUAGGAGUUGCAUAUGUACCCUUGUUCUCCUUCCACUAAUUAUACUAGAUAUGAGCUACAUCCUUAAGCUGGUAAGAUGUCAACUCAACCCGAUCAUUCCCAGUUACCUGCAUCACUCCAAAGAUAUUCUUGACCUCAUCAAUGAAGUUUUGGGGAUCCUCACCAGUCUGAGAUCCUAAGAACUCAAGCGGAUUCAUCCUAAUAAAAUCCCAAACUCUAGUUACAACUGACCCAACAUUAGCCUUUGCCAGAACUGGAACCUGCUAAUUGUUCUGGUUGUUCACACUCUGAGCCAAUACCUGGAUAGCGUUCAAAAAUUCAGCAUUUGAAACUUCCUGAUCUAGGACUUGAGGAGUUGCGUUUGCAUUCCUGGCAUUCGCAUUCCUUGCAUAAGCUCUACGAUGAGGCAUGAUCUGAAAGUGCAUAACGAAGGAUUAGAAGGAAAGAUCAUACCAACGCACAACAAGAAUAUCAAGAAAGUGAAGUUUUCCUAAAACACUUCGUAGCCUCCCUCUCAUUAAAUGUGGUUCACUUUACACCCAUGAAAAAGACUCUACAUUGUGCGGAUUUUCAGACAUCCUAGGACUCUUAAACCUAAUGCUCUGAUACCAAGUUUGUCAUGCCCCGAGGCUACCUCCUGGACGCGGACACGGGACCUAGGAUCACGAGUGACCCCAAGCUAACCUUGUUAGCAUAUCAUAAGCAACAAAAGUAAACAUAAGCAAUAAAUACUGUGCGGAAGCUAAAUCAUAUGUUAAUCUGAAAUGAUGAGCAAUACCCAUAUACUAAAUCUGAAUAUAAGGAAACUGAGAGUUUGAAUACAAAAGAAAAAGUCAAACGCUAACGCUAAAGCUGACUAACUAUGUCGAAAAUAAAGGCUCUACUGACUAGAAAUGAUGGGACUUGCCCCAGCUAGAUCUAGCAAAACCGAAACUAAAGCUAAAAGCAAGAAAGAUAAUCAUGUCACUAGUCCUCGAAGAAUGAGAACUCACCACUGAUGCUGCUGAACUGAAGAUCGGGAACCGAUUUAUGCGUGAUCUGACUGCUGAACACCAGAACCCAUAUCACAAGAAGAUGUAGUGUAGAGUAUGUGUCAGUACUUGAAAGGUACUGAGAAUGUAGGAUAGAGUAAAGCUGAAUAAUAACAUAACUGAACAAGCAAUAAAGCAAUGAUAUAAUCUGAACAUGAUAAGGAUACUUGAUUUACUGAACAUGGAUAAACUGAAUGCAAUGAUCAAGUUUAUAAAAUGGUGAGACUGAAUACUGAACUAUAUUGAUAACAUGGUCAAUGCAAUAGAAUCUGACUGAACUGUAAGGGAGCUACUAAUAACCGAAAUAAAACCACAUGAGCUAAAUGUGGAGUCCAAUGUGUACGCCUCAUCGAGAUGACCCAACAUACCAUGCCAGUGGUAUAGAGGCAUGCUGGCAUGAUCACUAAAAUGUAAUGCCCAACAGAGGGGACUUAACCUAUGAGGCACGUACUUUUGGGACUUGAGGGUGACUGACCCUAGUCCACUCGGUAUUAAGUUUAUCCAAAUUGAUCAAGUAAUUAACAAUUUAUGACUGAAAUGUUGUAAUACUGGAUAGCUCAAAAUACUGACAUACAAACUGAGAAUGCAACAUUAAUAUACUGAUAAUAAUGCAUUCGAAAACUGAGGCAUGUUUAUAUAUAUAACUGAAUUAACUGACCUAGCAUGUGUAAUUCAUGAACUAAAAGAACUACAAAGCUAGGGUUCUGAGUUUAUGGAUGAAUCUGGGAAAAACGAUACUACAACAUGAUAAUAUGAUUUGGAUCUUUCUAACAGCUUAAACACAACAAUUCUAGCAUUCAAGAAACCCUAGGUCUAGAUAAUAAUAAGGGAAUCAAGAUUCUGAUUGAAAUCUAGGGACCUAAUGGGUAAAAGGAACCCACUAGUGAAAUCCCACAUACCUGGUGACGAAUUUCAUGGAGAAAUAUUUUGAUUUCGAAGCUGGAACUGAUGGAACUUUGUUGUGUUCUUGACCUCUUUCUUCUCUUGCGCUCUAAUUUUUCUAAGUUUUGAUGAAUGAUCUGACUUAGGUAAGUUCUAGUUAUGUUUCUAAGCUAAAAUUGACCAAAACUACGUAGUUUAGGGUUUAAACGACGUAGUUUAGGGUUUAAAUGACGUAGUUUAGGGGUUCAACGCAUAAGGAAAUGACCAAAAGACCCCUGACUUGACUGCUGUCGGGAUCACUGAUGGAAGGGACCGAUGGACUAUCGAUCGACUGACGGUCCGUGCUGUUCAACCGUCAAUCUUGACUGAGAGCUAAAAUUUGGGGGUCUGAUCCACGGACACGGACCACGGUUAGUGGCCUGACCUACGGUCCAUGGGUUCGGCCGUGGGUCAACAUCUAGAAUAUUUUUCUGGGGGUUUCUGGGGAAGGGUCGUAGGUGGUGCACCAUGGACCCUUUGGACGGGUUGUGGGUCCUCCUACGGUCCAUGGAUGGUUCUCGUGGGUGCCACCUGCAACACCUGAAAUCUGUAGUCUGGUCUGUUCUAGCAUACAGGGUGUUACAGAAAUACUAGUUGAAAAUAUCAAUAUCAAAAUCAUAGAUGAUGCUCUUUUGUGAUCUUCCUCCUCUCUUAUUUCUCAGCUAAAAUUUCCUUGUACUUUAUUGAGUUUAGUCUUAUGCUUCUUGGCAUGGCAAGGUACAAUGUCUGGUGAUUUAACAUCAAUGUGGGAUACUUAUCAUGUUUAUAAUCUUUACUUUUUAGUAUUGUUUGUGAUGUACGAGUUACGUACCGAUCACUCUAGAUGUACUAUAUGGAUUUGAGACUUUGUAGACUUCGCUUCAUUUUUAUCAACUCUUUAUAAUAUGAAUUGUCAUUUAAAAUCUCUUGAGUUUCUAUUAUCCUGUAUGAUGCAUGAUAAUUGGCUUGUGUAUGGCCUCUCGGGGUCCUAUACUCCAUGUAACGCCUAGGGUAUACUUUGGGGGGUGAAAAAAUUGGUAUUCAGAAUACAAUAUUUAGAAAGGUCCUAGGAUGGCUCAUAAGCCACGUCGAGUAGAGUCUUGUUCACAAGUGUAAAGCACACCACAUUAUGAAAAAGAAGCUAUAAGAUGAUUAGGAAACUCCACUUAUUUCAUUACUCUAAGUCAUGUGAUAGAGUGUAACUCUAUAUGUCCUCUCUCCUAAUUCCUACCUAAUGUUUUUGAGAAAAUGACCUCUUAAAGAACAUACGUUAGGAGGAAUGUGAAUGAGAAUAUGGAAAAGAAGCUCAUCCUCAAGCUCCUCAAGUUUCGAUCGACCUUUUGGCCGAACAAGUGACUAAUGCGGAGUUUAGGGGUGCUUUUCAAGUGUUGGAUCAAGUCAUGACAUCUCAAGCUAGUAGGGAGUUUGGGGUCCCCGUGAACCCAAAUGUAGGUACGGCGGCAACUAGGGUGAGAGACUUCACUAGAAUGAAUCCCCCACAGUUUCAUGGUUCAAAGGUUGAGGAAGUUCCUCAACAGUUAAUUGAUGAAGUGUAUAAUGUGUUGAUGAUCAUGGGAGUGACGCUGAUGGAAAAGGCGGAAUUGGCCGCUUACCAACUUAAAGGUGUGGCUCAAGUUUGUUUCAACCAAUGGAAGGAAGAGAGGGUGGUUGAUGUGGGCCCUCUCGAUUGGGAAAAGUUUAAGGUUGCCUUUCUUGAUAGGUUCUUUCCCCUUGAGAUAAGGGAGGCAAAGGUAUUUGAGUUCAUCAACCUUCUUCAAGGAAGCAUGAGUGUGAAGGAAUAUGCUUUGAAGUUUAUACAAAUGCCUAGGUAUGCUUCUUGUAUGGUUGCCGACCAUAGGGCAAGGAUGAGUAUGUUUGUUUCGAAUGUGUCUGAGAUAGUGGCUACGGAAUGUUGUACCCCCAUGCUUACCAAUGAAAUGUACAUUUAUCAUCUUAUGGUUCAUUCUUAACAAAUAGAAGCGGACAAACUUAAGGAAAUAUCUAGGGAGGUGAAGAAGGCAAGUAUUGGUGAUGGUGACUUUUCACAUUCAAGGUCCGAUGGACAUGGUCGUUCGAAGUUUUGACAAUGGUUUUCCAGUCAUGGUUCCUCCAAUGCUCCUCCUAAUUUCAACAAAGAUACAGUGUCUAACCCUAGGCCUCAAGGAGUAAACGGUAGUGAAUCUUCAUUGCCUACUUGUAGUAAGCGUGGAAAGAAGCAUGAGGGUAGAUGUCUAGUCGAUUCUAACGCAUGAUUUAGUUGUGGUAAGACGGAUCACAAGAUAAGGGAUUGGCCCUUAGUAACUAAGAAUGAAGGAGAUAAUCAUCGACGGGAUCAACCUAAUCCUUCGUUCGGUUCUAGAGGUAGUCAGAAGCAAAACAUAUUAUAUACACUUCAGACUCAUCGUGAGCAAAAAGAUUUUCCCGAUGUGGUUACCGGUAUGUUGAAAGCCUUUCAUCUUGAUGUUUAUGCUUUUCUUGAUCCCGAUGCUAACUUGUCUUUUGUAACGCCAUAUGUGGUUACGAGGUUUGAUAUUCUUCUGGAUGUGUUGACUAAUCUCUUUUCUGUCUCUACUCUUAUUGGUGAAUCAAUUGUGGCUAAGAGAUUCUAUGGAAAUCAUUAUGUCACCUGUCGCGCCCCGUUUUUUGCAAAACAAAAAACGGACUUUCCUUUCGGAAUGCACGACCUAACAACUCUUUUGGGAUUUGGGUGGAUUGAAGAGUCGCCACCUAACGAAUUAAGGCGCGUUAGGGCACCUAUCUAACCUAGCUAAUUCUAACUAAGGUCAACGAACCAGAGAUCAGGGUAAGGGUUCAAAUUACCUCGAGGGGAAGGUGUUAGGCAUCUCUCGAGGUCCACAAAGGUGGGUCCCGGCCGUGUCUCAUGCAAUUUAUGUGGGGGUUACAAGUAGCAAUUAUGGUCAUUUAUUUACUUAUUUAAUUAACAUGAUGACUAGGUGAUACCUAUGAUUAAACAAUUAGGAUUAAUUAAAUUCUCUACUUUAUUGAUUAAGCAUGCGAGACUAGGUGAUGUAAUAAACGAGAGAUAAAUAUUUAAACAAUUAAUAAAGAGAAGAGCGAGGAGACAGAAAUAGCACAAAUUAAUAAACAAACAAUUUUACUUUUAUUUUAUUUAAGCUACCCCAAAUAUUUAUAACAAGUAAAGGGAGAAAAAGGAAAGGGAGACUCUAAAGGACUUUAGGAUCAGCACUCGACUUUCUUUAUUUUUUAAUAGGCUUCUGUGUAGGGACAUGGACUUUAGGAUCAGCACUCGACUUUUCUUUAUUUCGGUCGGCUUCUCGUAGGGACAGACAAAACCAAGGUUUGUCAUUUAGUCCGAGUCGAUGUCAUCAUAUCCAUAGGGCCUAGACUACCCCUACCCCACCACCGCAUGCUUUUCGUCUCUAAAAGGUGUCUAGCGUCCCCACGUAAGGUCCAAGAGGCAUUGGACUGCUAUUAGGGUGAAUUUAGACAAAGAAAACUCCUAAUAGGCCCGCCUAGACACCAAGUCAAACAUGUUGGACGAGCAUUUAGCACAUAAAAUCUCAUAUUGGCCUCUAAAUUUUAAUAUACAUGCUGACAAACACAAGCAAUGUGAAAGGAUUCAUGCAAAGUGUGCGACAUACAAACAGACGACACUCAUUAAAAUAGGAGAAAUGAAUAGAAUAAACAAUAUUAAACAAACAGUUUAAACAGCAUGCAUAUACUUAUUAUUACUGAUUUUAAAAUGUGGUAACAAAUUAAUAUAGGAAGCAAACUUUAGAUUGAGUUUGAGUGGCCAGAGUUAUUCAAAAUGCAAAAUAAUUAUUUAUUAACAGUAUGUAAUUUGAGCAAGCGAGUGUUUAAAGUAGCAGAAGAAAUAUUUAGAAUAGUAGCAGAUUUUAUUACUUUUAUUUUUUAGAUAGCAGAAAUAGUAAUAUCACAGUAUAUUUAACAGUGGUAAAAAAAAAUCAUAACAGAAUAUUAUUCACUGUUUAACAUGCCGAAACAGGUGACAAAAUUAUUUUACAUUGUUUCAGCCAUUAGCAGGCUGGAAAUUACUUAAUGAUGCCUAUUAACAUGAUUUCUACGUGAAAAUUGGAAAGUCGCUUGAAACCUAUAUGCAUAAAUUCUACAUCCAAAUAAUAUAUUAAGAAUUAUAUAACUCCUAUAGGCAUGGUAUCUGAGUGUGCAUAUGCUGAAAAUAUUAUCAAAACCUAUAUACAUAAUUUCUAUGUAAGACAUAAUAUAUUACAGGAACCUAUAGGCAUGAUUUCUAAAUGUAAACAAAUUUAUGAACACUUACGGGCAUUUUAUUGACAUGCAAAUAUUUAAUUCAAUCCUAUAGGCAUGGCUUCUAAGUUAAAUCACAUAUGUGACAUAUUGAGCAAAUCAAUUAUUUAUUUUACCAGUUUUAUACAUUUUAUACAAGAAAAUUGUGGUUCACCAACACGGUAACAUAUAUCAAAUUGUAAAGGUCACACGUGCUAAGAUUGUGUUACAAGAAGUUUAUUAAUUAAUUUGGUAUAUAAUUAGUUAACAUUAAGUGGUCAACAUAGAACAUAACAUUUAAAAAAGUAGUAAAAGUCGGCAAGAUCACUAUUAUACAUACUAGAUGAAUAAUGCACUAGUCAAACAUAUAAUUAAUUUUAGACUAAUUAGCCAAAAGGUGAUUAGUAGCAAGUAGCUUUACUUUAUUUAUUUAUUUUUAGUUAGAUCUAAAUAAGGAUUAGAGUGCGAGUAUUAAACCAUCGCACAACCUAAGUGAAUGAUUUCUAAUGUAACCGAGUUGCGAUAAAGUAAACACGUAGCACGUAAAUCCCCAUCCCUCCCUUAGACGAUCCCCCAAAUUAUUACAUAUAUGAGAGAGAGUUAGAGUUUACAAAUUAUUACAAGACAAUAAUAGAAAUUAAAUAAUAUAUAAAACCCAAAUUAAACAAAUUUAGCUUGUCUAAUGUUUUCCUUCAAUGGCAACUCUUCAAUAUCUUGAACUUUGAGUUCAAAACCUGUUAACAUGCAACAAAAUAGGAGCAAGUAAUGAUAAUACAAAAAGACAAUUUGAUAUUAGCAAAAAUGGUAGAACUNNNN
rnacentral:lncRNA from 1 species